GCCCCGCAUCAGGCUCUCUGCUGUCAGCACAGAGCCUGCUUCGGAUCCUCUGUCUCCCUCUCUCUCUGCCCCUCCCCUCCCCAAAAGUAAAUGAACGUUAACAAAAAUAUAUCCGCAGAAUGAAUCUAGGACUUCAAAGGGACAGAGCUUGACCAGAAAGCCCUUGCCCCUAGCUCUGCACCUUUAUAACUUACUGAUAUUUCCCUCUCUUUGGGGAAGAAGGGAAAUCUGAUUAGAUCGUGAACAUGUUAGUCUGGAUAUGGGUACAAACAGCUGUACAAGACCCAGGAUUGGCCUGGCUGGGCCAUGAGCAGAGACCCUGCUAUGACGUGGUCCAUGGCCUCCACUGAGCUUAAACACACACGUGUGUCUCAGCUCCCCGCCCCGUCAGCUGGAGGCCAAGGGAGCCCAUCUAGCGACUGGACACUGCGGAGAGCCACAGGCACAGUGGGACCGUCUCCUGGGGGGGGCCUCGGUCCGUUCGCCGGGGUCAGUACCACCCUCUUCAAACCCAACUGCUUACUGAUCUGCCUUCCAGCUUCUUUGGGCCACCUCGAAGCCACUGAGGCCAAAAUGACAAGCAUAAAGAUCGUAGUUACAAAGGGCUAGGUUAAUAACAACUCUACUGACUUAAUGGUACUUGAAUAGCCCUUUACUAUCUACAGGCCAUAUUUAUCGCCGGUAUAUCCCCUACACCUCACCACAAAAACCCACGAAGUGCAUAUUUAUUUUUAUUUCCCCCUCUGUGAAGUGGACUUUAUCAGGAUGUUUUGUGGCUUGUCCACGAUCACAGAGCCAGCGACGGAAGGUGACGUUUUCCGGCCGUCAAGUUCAGUGGUUUGGACACUGCUCCGCUAAGUUACUGUAAAUGAAUGGCCUACAGGACUUUCCAGAGCAGCUCUGUUUGAGGGUUGUUUAUUGGUGGAAAAACAAAACAGCGUUUCAGGACCAGAUCUUUUGGGGAAACACUCUUCGCACAUAAUGAAAUGAUUUUCUUUACAGGGGGAUCUUUAGAGCCUUUCCCUUGUCCGUCCUCAAGCCGUCCAUGCGACCCUGUGGGAUCUAAGCUGGCAGGAGGGCCUCCGAGGUGGCGUGGAAGCUGAGAAGAAUUGCACAGAAGAGGCCACGGAGCAGAAUUGAGCCCCGAAGGGAAAAAUACCAGCGUCGUUAACACACGAAGGUCAAAUCCAGGCUGCUCAGUGUGCAUCCAGAGCUCCUGAGUCGCCGGGCCAAGGCGGACCUCCCCCCUGCUUGGCCCCGGCUGCCGACGGUGCCCAAGAUGCCGGGAGCCGGCUGUUCUGUCUUACUAAAUUAGGCAUCUAUUUCGUUUGGCCGUCCGCGUUUUGAGAAGCUGUGGGCACAAUCCCUGUGGUCCUCUGCUAGACGAGGGAGGCCCGGGGAAGUUGGUGGUGGCCAAGGGUAACAAAAAGAAAGAGGGAGUGACUUUGUGGAAGCAUGGCUCUCAAAGCGCUUCUGUUUUUGUUAGGGUCUCGGGGAAGGUCGCGAGGGAAAGACAAGAUUAAAAGGGAAAGACGGCCUAUCUUCUCUGAUGGAUUCUUGAAUAAUUUCCAGCAAACUUCGUUCUCCUCACUGUUGGUGUUUGGGGGAGGUGGUGCGGGGCCCAUGACGGAGACCCGACCUCUUGGUGAAUGUCCAAAAUGAGAGUGGGUCCAGUUCGCUGGUCACCACAGUGGAGGCAGGUUGUCCCUUGGCAGCUACAGGGACGCCUCCUCAGCUGGGCCGGGCCUUCCUCUGAGUGGCCAAGUUCUACCUCGUCUGCUCAUCCGUCAGCCUCCUGGGGUUCAACCUGCCCCUCCCUUUUAGUAGCUAAUCACCUUUCGCUCUAUCGGCAAUUUUUUUUUAAUUAAAAAAAUGCUUUUAUUUAUUUUU